ACUCUCAGCCUGGCUGCCCCCACAGUGAUCACCAGCAGCCUCAUUCCUGGCAGCACCCGCCAAAGCUCUGCACUCCUCCUCCCUGGGUUACCUUGGUUAAUCUGCCCAUCUCUGAAUGCAGCCCUGAGGUCAGGGGGAUAGAAUGGUGAUGAUUCAGGGACAGAUGCUCUCUCCCGGGGCCAGGUCUGCCACCUGCUUCAUUUGAAUUACAUCGUUGGAGAAAGUUAAAAUAUCAGAGCUUUAGAAGAAAAAAGCUUCCUGUUCAUGCCCCUUCUUCUCUGCUUGGUAUGUUGGUAUGAGGAUGUGAUGCCUGGAGCCGGAACAAAAAAUUUGCAACCAUGAGGUGGACGUGCAUGAAGACAAAGAAUUAGCAUGAGCACUGAGGAGCAGGAGGGACAAUCAAAGCCUGGGGCCAUGAUGGUUUGCACAAUCCUUGGCCUUCUGUGUUGAACCUAGACUUAUUCAUCCAGGCUUUUUAUAAGGUAAAAUAUCUUUGGGAGGAAUUUGUCAUUUUUGACCUUGUGAGAAUGAACAAAGGGGCAAAAGUGAGGUAAGCUGUAACAUCAAGUGCGGACAGUCUUCUCUCCCUCCCAGACAUGACUCUGGCAUUGGGUUUUCAGAUGGAAAAGCCAAAUGAGUUUUUUGUAGCUGCCCUGGUCUUUGCUUCUUGCAUCUGUAGCAUAAAGAACGUCUUGUUCUUGUUGGGAGGAAAGGCAUGAUGGAAUCAGAUUCUGCAGAAGUUUGCAAGCGCCAAGGGUGUUCAUGACUCCAAACUGCUUCCCCGAUGCGCACAGAUUGAAGCAUAUGAGGGGACUUGGGUGUGGAAUGGAUGCUGUUCACACUCCCAGGGGAGGAGCCCUCUGAAGCCUAAGGCUUCGGUCAGGGAGACCGAAGUGUGGGGGAAGCAGUCCCUUUGCCUCAGCACCUGGACUGUGAGUCCAUGAAGACCUCGGGGCAGAGGAAGCAAGAAGCAAAAGACUGUAAAUAUUAUUCAAAUAAAGAAAGCACAAGGUCAGAAAGCAACAGAA